AAUCCAGGAGUUUAAGACCAGCCUGGUCAACAUGGUGAAACCUGUCUCUACAAAUGAUACAAAAAUUAGCCAGAUAGGUUGAGGCUCAUGUGUAGUCCCAGGUCCUCGGGAAGCUGAGGUGGGAGGAUCACUUGGGUCUGGGAUGUUGUGGCUGCAGUGAGCUGUGAUUGCAUCACUGCACUCCAGCCUGGGUUACCGAGAAAGACAUUGUCUUCAAAAAAGUGAAUAUUAUAGAUGCCUUAUUUUAUUGAUCAUAGUGAUCAUAAUGGUAAUUAGUUGCUUAGUUUGGUGUAAACAGUGUUUUAUUAACUUAAAGUCCUAAGGCUUAGUAAUCACUAAUCAGCUGUGAUACCUUAGGUAAGGUGAAAAACCUCUCUAGAUUUGAAUUGUCUCAUUUAUAAAGGGAAAAAUAUGAAGUAUUCUUCGAUCUCUAUUAAUUCAUGAAUACAUGUGUGUAAUGUGUUGCACUGAGCGUAUUCUACAUCAAAAAAUUGCAGAUGUCACCCAAGAGGCAUAGGGCAAAGAAAUUUUUAGAAACACAGUUUUUAGGAUUUGAUCCAUAGUCCUUGAAAUAUUAUGUCCUAGUUGUUAUUGUUUCUCCUCUUUGAGUGGCUGCUCUUACUGAGAUUUAGGAUGCAGCCGGAGGAGGAAGCUUUCUUCCAACGACCACCAAACUUCCUCAUCUUGUGCAAGAGGGCUGCUUCUGAGGUCAUUCGACAAACCUGUUAUGCCAGCCACUCACUUCCGUAUUCUUGGGGCAGGUCAGGAGACAUACACUGGCUACCUUUAUUUCCUUUAUUUGGAUGUUUCUUUUUUAUAGCCUGCCAUCUGAAUAGAAAUUACACUAAAUGAUAUCCUUGACCUUGUCUGGUAAAUGUGUUUGGAAUUUGUGAAUUGCUUCAUUCUGAUCAAAUGAUCUAAGUAGGUGAGGAAAGGAUACAGCAGGUAGCACUCGAUACAAUUUAUAAUAGCUUCUUCCCCUUUUGUCUCACCUGCCAGCUAACAUAGUAUACACACACACACACACACACGCACAUGCACACGCACACACACAGAGGGAAUCAGUAUCACAUUAAAUUUAUGGUCUUGUUCCUUGGCCUCAUCUUGAACCCCUAGCACAAUGGCUUUUUGCAAUUCAUCAGAAGAGAAACUAUAAGAAAUUAAUGAAUGAAUUGGCCUCAACAUAUCACCACCAAAAGAAAACAAUUCAAAAUUUAAGAUGUUUAACACCCUUUAAACCACCACGUUUAUUCUCUUAUCGAAAGGAUCUCAUAACAGAAUCUUCAUUGUCAACAUCAUUGUCAUCAAGUUUUUAAGUAUUAUUAAGAUGAAGACAAGAACAGGUAAUUCUAAUUUUGCAUCGUGUUUUGAAUAGAUUCUGCUCCUAGUUUCCAGGGCUCUGAAGGCAUCUAGGUAACUGAGAUAAUGUUCUGCACAUGAUCCUUCUCUUAUGCUUGGUGCACAUGCUUGUAAAAAGCCUGUUUGUCAAAAAAAAAUAUCAAUUAAUCUUAAUGAUACAAAUAUUUGCUUAAUAAGACUCAUUAGGGAGCCAAUAUUAAUCAAAGGCUCAGAAUGAUCUGUAAUUAGCACUUUAAUGUUACAUAUAUUAGUGGAUGGUUUGAAAGUGUUCAAGGGUUUUUUAAAUGUUUUAUUUCUUAUUUUAUUUAAAAUAUUUUAUCUAACACUCUCUUUAAAUUUCUUAAUCCAGGACAUCCUUGACUUUCACCUAAACUAUAGUCCUACCCAAGCCUCCACUUAAACCUUGGUCGCAGAAAGCUCAGACAGUAACUUUUACAUAACAUCAAUCAAAGCAGGCCUGUCCUCAGAUAAAGCUCUCCAAAGCUUUUCCACAGACUAAAAUAAAAUCCAAGUUUCCAUCCUGCUUACAUUUACGGACUCCCUCACAUUGCAUGUUCCAGCAAUGCCAGCCCUCUUUAUGCCUGAAGACUUGUCUCUCCGAGGGGCUUAGCAUUUUCCGUGUCCUCUGCCAGGAACCCCUCUCAGUGACUCCCUCUUGUCUUUUCUAUUUCAAUUUAACUGACACUCCAGGAAUACCUUCCCUGACUCCUGAAUCCAAACUAUGCCCCAAUUCAACAAGUAACUCUCACAGCUUUUCUCUAUUUCUACUCUUUUUUCAGCACUUGUUGCAAUUGGAAAUAUUCUUGAUUCUUUUUUGUUGAUUUAUUGAAUUCUUUAUGAUGUGUCUCUCAGUAGAUGUGAGCUUCAUGAAAGCAAGCACUUCUUGUUCAAAGCUGUAUUCCUAAAACCUAGAAUAAUGCCUGUCACAUAGUAGGCACUCAAUAUAUACUAGUUAACCUGAAAAGUACCUGUUGGGUAGAAUCCUUUCUUCAUCUCACAUUUUCUGACUUAACGUGGCUAUAAUUCAUGAGAUUUAAAAAAUACACCUGGACUAGUAUUAUUUAUUAUUUUUGUUAUAGUGAGAAGUUUUAUUUAUAGGAAAUACCUGAUUUUUCACAUAAAAUCUUUUGUUCAUUUCAGUGAAAACUUUGGAAGAAAUGAAGGAACCAUAGUGACUGUUGCGAUGCCUGCACAGUAUCUCUUUUCCUUAAGAAUUUCAAAACUUCAUGUAGGCUGCUGAUCUUAAUAAUACUUUUCUUCUUUUACAAUAUCUUUUUUUAAAGAAAUAGCAUGUUUGAAAUUCUACUUGGGAGGGCAACCUACUGUGUAAAUUGCCAUGAGUUUGCAUCUCAUCUGAUUCUAAAGACUCUCUACCUGUUUUACUAUAAAUUUGUUUGACUUUAUCUUUGCUCCCAACUUAUCCGGUGUUCUGUUGUCUACCGGAAUGCCGCUCUGUUUUCUUUGUGAACUCAAGUCUAAGAGAGAUUAAAGUAAGGCCAGCUGAGUGAUUUUCCAGUAAGAGGCCACAGUUUAUUCUAAUUUUUUUUAGCGCUGAAGCAAAUCACAGAGUCUGAAGUGAGAAGAGAGAGAGCCUGUGGUGUGGCUUCUUGUGGGCGGUAAUAUCACCUGUAUCUGUAGACGGUAAUAUCACCUGUAUCUGUAGACGGUAAUAUCACCUGUAUCUGUGCUCCAAAGUGAAUGUAUCUUGUGCCCCAUGGUAUUUUCUGACAGCUCACAGAAGAGGACACCUUAUUUCUUUAUAGGCUCCAUUUCCAUUUUGAUACGAUAAAAAACACGAUUCCUAUACAGGUAGAUGAUCCCUGUUCAUAGUAAACCAUAAAGAAAAUACUUGUCCUCUUUCCUCUGAGCCUUUAAUGUGGUAACAAUCAUGUUUUGAAAUUCUGUAAGAGAUAUGAUGUAAGCUAAUUGAGAUUCAAUUAGCACAUCACAUGCUUUUUGCUAUGCAGACGCUAACUGGGGAUCCGUCUAUUAGAAAUUACUCAUUGCUGGAUGAGAGCUAGAUGAAUAGCAAUUUAGACCUUGAAAGACAUGCAAGACUAUAAAUGGAAGUAAAAGUGAUGCUAAUGGAAGAUCACCCAAGAACUUUUCAGAAUUCCCCAUUGAGAAACGCUAAUUUUCAUAUUUGACAUUAGGGCUUAUGAUAAUGACAAGACCUCAAGAUUGAGUACAAUUAUAUCCAUAAAAUGUAUUGCAAAUAUCUUGAAAACUACCUAUUAAAUUGAAUCUUGGAGCUGGAUUUGUCUCAUUUUCUUAUAAUGACUCACAACAUGAGAAAUUGGGAUUUACUUUUCUUUGUUAUUAAUGACCAACAUAAAUCCACAUUAUGUAUCUAAUUAUUCAGAAGAGCCAAAGUGAUCUUUUCAAAACCAAAGACAAAAUGUCACUCUUCUGCUCAAAACAUGGUGAUGGCUUAUCUUUCCAAGAAUCAGUCUCAAAGUUCUCACCAUGGCCUUGUAGGUCUCUGCCCUCAUCACCUUCCUCUCCCUUGGUUCAUCCGUUGAAGUGGCUGGGUCUCAUAUCCUAUUUUCUUAGUAAGGACACAGAAUGUCAUUGUUCCUUACUAUUUCCUUAGUAGAGAAUAUCUAUCUACAUGGCUCAUUCCCUCAUUUCACUCUGCUUUGCCCAACAGUCACCUUUUCAGAGAGAUUUUUCCUGAUUAAACCAUUUAAGGUGGAAUACUCCUCUUCCCAGAACCAUCAUACCAAUACCCUUUACCCUGCUCUGAUAUCCUUCUUAGUACUUGCAACCAGACACACUGCAUUUCAUUUAUUUAUCUCUAAUCUAUAUUUUCACCGUUAAAGACUAAGUUUCCCAAGGUUAAAUACUUCAGAUGUUUCUCUAUGACUCUAUCUCUGAUACAUAUUAAGCACUUAACAAGUAUCUGUCCACUGGAUAAAGGAUUUAUGAUCCUUUGCUUUUAGGCUUCAUCUAACUAAAUCAGUGAAUUGUGAAUUCACUAAUGAAAAAGAACAGAGUAAGAAUUCUUACAUACAUUAGUAGAGAGUAGCCUUCCUCUUCUAGUACUGCUAUUGUUAAAAUUGCUUACAUAAGAUUAAAUUUUUAAAAUCUUUAUAGUAUAUAAUCCUUUGAAAUUCAAGAUAUUUCUUUACUGUGUGGAAAGCAGGUAUUAUGAAAAGUUUCUGUUUUCUCAGAUAUUUAUAGUAAAUUGUAUGCUGAAAAAAUUAUUCUAUGUCUGAUCACUUACACAAAAGUAUCUCUUCAAAUGUACUUAUCAUUAAUUAGUUUUUAUUAAGCAGAGAAAUAAUAAUUAAUAAAAGGGCAGUUCAGUCCAAAAUUGCUUUUUAUAGCAUUAUUUUCCAGCAUUUUUUCAUUGCAUUCCAAGCAAUAAAAAUUACAAUCAAAAGCAUAUUUUGUUUUAAACUAUAAUAGAAUAAAUAAUAGCAUUGCCCAUAAUACUGUUAGCCAAAUUAGUGUGCACACAGUAUAGAAUGUAUGCAGAAAUAAUGUCAUAAGCAAUUUUAUAUGAAUUUCAUUUUUAACAAAUUUUAAUUUCCUAAACUUGUUCCUUUUAAUGUCAAAAUAACUGCCUUUUAUCUUAGAAGAUGGUUGCACAGAAAUUAUGUGCCUUAAAUUUAUUAUAUCAUGUGGAAUAAUCAAUUUACCUGCCACUAGUUGAAAUUCCUAAUCUCAGCUCAUCUAACAUUCUGAACAGUUGUAGAGAGAGAUUUUCUCAUUUACCCAUCUUGACCCCGUCUCUUGAGAGACCACAAUAUUUACACCUGCCCAUUUCAGCAUGAACCUGUCAGAGCAUUUAGACAACUCACAUGGCAGCAAAAAGCUCCCAGACUGACUGUUUCAAGAGAUGGGAAAUGGAAGCCGCCUGUUUCUUGAGAGCUGGGCCCUGAAAAUAGCAUGAUUUCUCUUUUGCCAUUUUCUCCUGGUCUAAGAGUAGAAUAUACAUUCCUUGUAUCAGGACGUGGGAUCUAUGUUCCCCUCCCUUGAGUCAGAGCCUACUCAGAAUCUGAAUGUAUAGCAGGAAUUCCAAUUGACACUAAAGACACCUUGAGAUGUAGGGGAGUCUAUUUUGCUAUGAGAAAACAUCCUCUCUCGUCGACGUUAAGACCUUGUUUCACCAGUUUUAUUCCCUUCCCCAAUGUAUUGUAGAAAAUCUUAGUCUGUGUUUGAACAAAAAUGAAAACAAAACAAAGCAUCACAAUAAAAGAACCUUCCCUUGACUCCGUAGGACUCUUUUAUUACGUAUAUUUUUUCUAUUCCAUUCCUCUUCAGACUUCUCACUAGAGUACUAUGUAAGCAGUGUCUCCGUGCCUACUACUCUAUCCAUGGGAAUGUGGCUUCUUUCCCAGGUGUUUUUGCAGAAAUGGUUCUCUUUCCUUCAAUGGCUUUGUAAUUCUGAACACAAUGAACCUUCAUUGGUCAGGUAUUAACAGCCUUCUCUGAUGCCUUUGACACUGUUUAUCCCUUCUUAAAUCUGGAAAUCGUUCAUUGGUCUUCUGAAUUGUCACAAUCUCCUGGUUCUCCAGUUUCCACACUGUCUUCUCUUGAGACUCCUCUUGCUUGGUCUGUAGAUAUUAGCUUUCUUCAGAGUUCGGCAACUAGGCUCUGCUCUUUUCAUUCUGCAGUAUCUCGUUGGGUGAUGUCAUUUUUGUUCACACUUAUAAAUGACCCGUCUAUGCUGAUGACUUACAUAGUUAGAUCUCUUUCUCAGAAUUCCUAGCAGAACCUCAGAUCUAACAUCCAAAUGCCAAAUGCCAGCUCUGUGUCUCUGAGUAGAUAGAUGCUUCAAAUUUGACCUGUCUAACCUGAAUCGUUCUCUCACAUUUAUUGUAUCUUUUCGGCAACAUCAGCGUUCAUUAGGUCAGUCAUGUAAUAAAACUGGGCUCUAUCUUUGGUUUGUCUCUCUCUUUGUCCUUUUGCAGCUCUCCAGCUACUUAUACCCCUUAAGUAACAAAGUCCUGUUGAUGUACAUACUAAAUAUUUCCUGGGUUUUAAAACUCUCCUCUCAAUUCCUACUAACGCUGCUCUAAUUUGUCUAAUAUUACCUUUCGAAAGAAGUAUUUACAACUGCCUCUUGUUUCUCUACCUAGAUUUGUGUCCACCCACAUACCAGAAAGAACUCUGAAGACGUGACAGUAACACCACUAUGCUUCACAACUUUCAAUGUCUCUCCAUUGCCAAGAACAAUAUUUUUAAAACUGUCGAUAGACACUCAUUAAUAAAUUAUAAAAUUCGUUUA